AGCGGAGGAAAAGAAACCAACCGGGAUUGCCUUAGUAACGGCGAGUGAAGCGGCAAAAGCUCAAAUUUGAAAUCUGGUACCUUCGGUGCCCGAGUUGUAAUUUGGAGAGGGCAACUUUGGGGCCGUUCCUUGUCUAUGUUCCUUGGAACAGGACGUCAUAGAGGGUGAGAAUCCCGUGUGGCGAGGAGUGCGGUUCUUUGUAAAGUGCCUUCGAAGAGUCGAGUUGUUUGGGAAUGCAGCUCUAAGUGGGUGGUAAAUUCCAUCUAAAGCUAAAUAUUGGCGAGAGACCGAUAGCGAACAAGUACAGUGAUGGAAAGAUGAAAAGAACUUUGAAAAGAGAGUGAAAAAGUACGUGAAAUUGUUGAAAGGGAAGGGCAUUUGAUCAGACAUGGUGUUUUGUGCCCUCUGCUCCUUGUGGGUAGGGGAAUCUCGCAUUUCACUGGGCCAGCAUCAGUUUUGGUGGCAGGAUAAAUCCAUAGGAAUGUAGCUUGCCUCGGUAAGUAUUAUAGCCUGUGGGAAUACUGCCAGCUGGGACUGAGGACUGCGACGUA
rnacentral:rRNA from 1 species